AAUAAACCCUGGGUUUCCGUAUCCAGCGUUUUACCGUCCGUUUUAUUUGAAAAAAUUAUGAAAAAAAUUAAAAAGAUAAGUCACGCAUAAAGUAUUAAUCAUAUAAGACGGACAGUUAAAUGUUGGACACGGAAACCCAGGGUUUAUCUUUUU
rfam:Oryza glumipatula chromosome 6, whole genome shotgun sequence.